rnacentral:rRNA from 1 species
UACGUAGGGGGCGAGCGUUGUCCGGAUUCAUUGGGCGUAAAGAGCUCGUAGGCGGCUUGGCAAGUCGGGUGUGAAAACUUCAGGCUCAACCUGGAGCGGCCACUCGAUACUGCCAUGGCUUGAGUCCGGUAGGGGACCACGGAAUUCCUGGUGUAGCGGUGAAAUGACGCAGAUAUCAGGAGGAACACCGGUGGCGAAGGCGGUGGUCUGGGCCGGAACUGACGCUGAGGAGCGAAAGCGUGGGGAGCGAACAGG